UACGUAGGGCGCGAGCGUUGUCCGGAAUUAUUGGGCGUAAAGAGCUCGUAGGCGGCUUGUCACGUCGGGUGUGAAAGCCCGGGGCUUAACCCCGGGUCUGCAUUCGAUACGGGCUAGCUAGAGUGUGGUAGGGGAGAUCGGAAUUCCUGGUGUAGCGGUGAAAUGCGCAGAUAUCAGGAGGAACACCGGUGGCGAAGGCGGAUCUCUGGGCCAUUACUGACGCUGAGGAGCGAAAGCCAGGGGAGCAAACGGG
rnacentral:rRNA from 1 species